CCUACGGGUGGCAGCAGUGAGGAAUAUUGGUCAAUGGACGAGAGUCUGAACCAGCCAAGUAGCGUGAAGGAUGACUGCCCUAUGGGUUGUAAACUUCUUUUAUCUGGGAAUAAAAUAUUCCACGUGUGGGAUUUUGUAUGUACCAUAUGAAUAAGGAUCGGCUAACUCCGUGCCAGCAGCCGCGGUAAUACGGGGGAUCGGAGCGUUUACCGGGUUUUUUGGGGUUAAAGGGGGCGUAGGUGGAUUGUUAAGUCAGUUGUGAAAGUUUGGGGCUCAACCGUAAAAUUGCAGUUGAAACUGGCAGUCUUGAGUACAGGAGAGGUGGGCGGAAUGCGUGGUGUAGCGGUGAAAUGCUUAGAUAUCACGAAGAACUCCGAUUGCGAAGGCAGCUCACUGGACUGCAACUGACACUGAGGCUCGAAAGUGUGGGUAUCAAACAGGAUUAGAUACCCUUGUAGUC
rnacentral:rRNA from 1 species